rnacentral:tRNA from 1 species
GUCUCGGUGGCGCAAUUGGUAAGCGCGAUCCCAGACAAUUAUCAAUCGUGAGGUUGAGAGUUCGAUCCUCUCCCGGGACG